ensembl:snRNA U6 U6 spliceosomal RNA
GUGCUCACGCUGGCAGCGCAGACACUGACACUGGAGCGAGACGAAGAUGAGCAUGGCCCUGGGCAAGGAGGACAUGCUGAUCCGUGAAGGGGCCGGUGAUUUU